UUUCUUCUGCCCAAGGGACCUCUUCCAUUGAUUCUAUGGUGUCUGUUGUAUCGGAUUGGAUUCCAGGGUUUGUAAAAUAGCUAAAUCUAUUCAUCAUCACCCAGACGAUUAAUUUCUGCUGCUAUUAAGUCCAUAAGACUUGUUGGUGGGAGGUGAAACUGAACCCCAUUUUCUAAUUUGCACUCAGUCUGCUUCUCAAGAAAUGAAGGCUAAKGGGAGGAAAAAUCUACCCCGAUUCUUCACUCCUAGGUGCCUGUUUAUCUGAAUGCAAGUUGUUUUUACCAGUGUAAAUGGCAGCAGGGCAGCUGGGGAGGCCUGAAAUAACUGUGCGUGCAGGACUGGGGAGACCAGACCCCAGCGAAAAUCCCCCGUGCUCUGAGACGAGAGGGAGAGAAGAAAUCAAUGCAUUUGAGCAAGAAUUGAAACAAGUUAAGAGCUGUAUGCUUAUUAGCUCCUCACAGCAAAAUAAUCUGCCACUGAAAGCAGACAGGGAGGAAGAUCACAAUGACUGUAAUGGAACACAGAUUGGUUUAAUAGUAUCAGAAACUCUUUUGAAGGCAGCUGCGUAGCUCAGAGCAGGUGGGUGCAGCUCAACAGGGAGGCCUAUCUCUAGGUAGAGACUUU